AUGUUCGAGUAUGUAAAUGUUGUCAGCAAGAUGUUUGAUAGUGAGGCUGAAGGCUAUGAAUUCUACAACAAAUAUGCUCUUGAAAAAGGUUUUAGUGUGAGGAAAAGCUACGUUGAGUGGGAUGGAUCCAACAAAUACAUAAUUUUAAGGAAAAUUGUGUGUAGUCGUCAAGGGUUCCGCGAAGAGAAGCACAUAAAAAGAAAGAUGGAAGAUAGAAAGAGGAGGCCACAAAGUUUAACUCGUGUUGGGUGUAAUGCUAAAUUGGUCAUUACGAGACAGGAGGAAACCGGUCGGUGGUUUGUCAAGGAUUUCAUCGAUGAGCACAGCCGUCCGCUAGCCCCACGGGAUCUUUCUUGUCUGUUGCGUUCGCACAGACGAAUUAGCGAUGAGUAG
rnacentral:rRNA from 1 species